rnacentral:pre_miRNA from 10 species
AUCUUGUUCCCCUUUCUCCCGGGGUCCAGUUUUCCCAGGAAUCCCUUGUUGAACAUGAAAGCGGGAUUCCUGGAAAUACUGUUCUUGGGGGCGGGGCU